rnacentral:rRNA from 1 species
AGUGAACGCUGGCGGUAGGCCUAACACAUGCAAGUCGAACGGCAGCACAGGAGAGCUUGCUCUCUGGGUGGCGAGUGGCGGACGGGUGAGGAAUACAUCGGAAUCUACUUUUUCGUGGGGGAUAACGUAGGGAAACUUACGCUAAUACCGCAUACGACCUACGGGUGAAAGCAGGGGAUCUUCGGACCUUGCGCGAUUGAAUGAGCCGAUGUCGGAUUAGCUAGUUGGCGGGGUAAAGGCCCACCAAGGCGACGAUCCGUAGCUGGUCUGAGAGGAUGAUCAGCCAAACGGGAACUGAGACACGGUCCAGACUCCUACGGGAGGCAGCAGUGGGGAAUAUUGGAAAAUGGGCGCAAGCCUGAUCCAGCCAUACCGCGUGGGUGAAGAAGGCCUUCGGGUUGUAAAGCCCUUUUGUUGGGAAAGAAAUCCAGCUGGUUAAUACCCGGUUGGGAUGACGGUACCCAAAGAAUAAGCACCGGCUAACUUCGUGCCAGCCGCCGCGGUAA